AAUGAAAAUUGAAAAAAGAGGAACGAAGCACAAAGCAGAAAUGCUAGGAAAUGAAAUUUCGAAGUGUUCCUUUCCAAGUUAUCUUCGUGUGUUUGUGGAAAUAUUCCAACAACAAUCUAGAGGGGUCCACACAUUCCAAACAUACAUAUUUAAUUUAAAAUACAGUACACAUGAAUGGACAAUAGUACAAGCACAUGUGGUUCACACAAUUCUUCCUAUCUUUUGUUUUUUGUGCAAGAUAUAUACACACACGAUAUAGAUAUGAAAAAAAAAGAAUAGAAAAAGAGAAAGUGGGGAACAAUACUUUGAGAGAUAAGGAGGAUUUUCGGGGAAAAGGAGGGGACCAAAAUAUUUUGAGUUUUUCUUAUUUGAUUUGGGUUUAAAAUAUGGAGAAGAUAAGUUGUAGUAGAAAUUGCACUAAUUAAAUGCCCAUUUAAGGGGGCUGAAAAUGACAGAAGGAGGACAUUCGGAGAGAAGGACCCUCCCCCAUUUUUGAGAGACGCGACGCUGCUCCCUACCUUCUUCACAAGAGAACAAAACUCCUUCCUCUCAACACCUCCGGUCACUUCAACAACCCCGCUCCCAUCAUCGGCGAACUCGCCGGAAACACGAGGACAGUGGCACCACGUCUCUUCACAUCUCCGCCAGCCACAUCUCUGACUCUCACACCCAUCUCUCACUCUCACCUGAAACACAUGCACUUAAGAGCUUACAUAAAUGGGAUUGGAAUUUAAAAAGUACAAAAACAAUCAAAAAAAGGAGUCCAAAAUUGCUCAAGUUGGUUACUACUGGUUUUCGAAUUGCUUUUCUCAGAAUUUCUGGAUGUCUAUUGUGUAAAAGUGACGAGAAUUUUGCCCUGCUCGCUGCUAUUCAAUUUUGAAGUUCUACUGUUUUCGUCCGCGUCUAGAAGGAUCAGGAAGAGAUAAGCAAGAAGGUCCUUGACUUUCAAUUUGAUUUCUUUGAUAACGUUGGUGUGGACUAAAGUCCACGGAGGUGGAGUUUUUUCCAAUCUAUCGUGGAGAGGUUUUAGCAAAUUGCUAAGGCUUGGAAUGAAAUCCGACACAUAAUUAACACAUCCUAAAAUCUUUGAUGCUGAGUUUUAUCUAAAAUUUGGUCUGAAAAUUUGUCAGCAAAUUGUAUGGAUCUUUGAAUAGGGACAAUGGUUCCCUGCUCGAUAUUGUGCCCAAGAAAUCGGAUGUUGAUUUGAAAAAAACUAUAUUUAGUUUUUGAUAAAACUAAUCCAUUUUCUUUGAUAA